AGGUUAACCGUAUAGGGGAGCCGUAGAGAAAUCGAGUCUUAAUAGGGCGUUUAGUUGCUGGGUAUAGACCCGAAACCAGGCGAUCUAUCCAUGAGCAGGUUGAAGGUUGGGUAACACUAACUGGAGGACCGAACCCACUGUCGUUGAAAAGCCAGGGGAUGACUUGUGGAUAGGGGGGAAAGGCUAAUCAAGCCUGGUGAUAGCUGGUUCUCCCCGAAAGCUAUUUAGGUAG
rnacentral:rRNA from 1 species